GAGUUUGAUCGUGGCUCAGAUUGAACGCUGGCGGCAUGCCUUACACAUGCAAGUCGAACGGCAGCAUGAUCUAGCUUGCUAGAUUGAUGGCGAGUGGCGAACGGGUGAGUAAUACAUCGGAACGUGCCCUGUAGUGGGGAUAACUAGUCGAAAGAUUAGCUAAUACCGCAUACGACCUGAGGGUGAAAGUGGGGGACCGCAAGGCCUCAUGCUAUAGGAGCGGCCGAUGUCUGAUUAGCUAGUUGGUGGGGUAGAGGCCCACCAAGGCGACGAUCAGUAGCUGGUCUGAGAGGACGAUCAGCCACACUGGGACUGAGACACGGCCCAGACUCCUACGGGAGGCAGCAGUGGGAAUUUUGGACAAUGGGGCAACCCUGAUCCAGCAAUGCCGCGUGUGUGAAGAAGGCC
rnacentral:rRNA from 1 species